AAAACGGCCCUUUUCAGGGCCACCAAAUACUAAAAGAUCAUAAGCAG
rfam:Tropilaelaps mercedesae isolate Wuxi-XJTLT scaffold0000015059, whole genome shotgun sequence.